rnacentral:lncRNA from 1 species
AGACAGGGAAGUGGGAGGGUGCAGUGGUGGGUGGAAGCUGGGGCUCAGUGGGAAGGAAAGAUAAUGUCUGACCGGCUAAGGUUAGAGGGUUCUGCCGUACCAGAAUCUGCUGAGUCUGAGUUCCCAGGGAGCUCUGCGAGACCUUUACUGUGACCCUUACAUGGAUAACAUCAUUGUGAAGUCACCAACAGUGGAUGUUUUUCCAGUAGCCACAGGGCUCUCUGAUCCCUACGAAAAGAGAGGAGCUGACAGGAUACAUGCCAUAUUUGAAUACUCCCUGCCUCUAAGCAGAAAUGAGCACAUGGAAGCACCAACCAGCUGGAGUUUGCUUAAAGACAUUGGGAGAGAACUUUAAGCUUCAGGAAGGACAGCUAAUGAGUGACAGCUGAGAUAAUAAAGACCUGCCUGUCACCCACCCUGCUUUCUGCACAAGCCACAAACAUCCUCGUGAAAGUUAAAAGGAAAAAGAAAAACAUGCUCUUCCAAGGCCCUUAGAAGUAUUAUGGCCCUGGCUACAGUCUCCACAGGGCCUCCUGGGCAGACAUACCACUCAUGGAGAAGAGAGGUCGCUGUCAUUAGAUGCCAAGGUGGGAGAAACUUGAAGCUGCUAGUCUCAUAGCUAUAGUCAACCUCAGAGAGGAGCCUCAGAGAGGAGUCAACCUCAGGAGGAGUCAUUGACACAUGCUCUCUUCAGCAGAGUGUGCAGGAGAUGGAAGUCAGAGGCCAUCGGCUUGCCCACAUUCCUCACCCAGGACUGAGCUGCGCAUGACUGCUGCUUCCCUGCCUUUGAGUAAUGAGGGGACACAGCAAGACGGCCACAUCAGGGCUGCUGUAUUAGUAAGGCUACUUUCCUGUCCAUUUAUCAUCAAUUAAAGGUGUGCUAGUUUGUAAAGCAA